GGCCCGCUCCCCCUCCCGACCACACCUGCACGUGUCUCGGAAGCACUGCCUCGAGGAGCAUCGCCAGCCUUGCGUGACCGCACACGCCUGGCCCAGGCAGCCCGUCAGCUGUGGGCGGUGUUGGCAUCGACGCAGAAACUGGGUGUGGAUGACCCUCUGGGAGAGCAGCAAAGAGGAGGUCCCCCGAGGACUGGCUCCAGCCACGUCCGGUCCUGAGCUCUGGCCCGACCUCAUGGCCUCCUCCGUGGCUCACGCUCCGUGUGAUCGCGUCGGCCAGCUGCCAGGUGACAGGAAUCCGUGGACGGAGGGAAGGGCAUCUGCUGGACGUGCAUGGAGGACGGGUGCGUGGGCUCCAGGAACCGGUGCCAGGACCUGCAUCUUCCCAAAGGAAAUGCCAGCGAGGGUCCUCUGCACAGGACGGCCUGGCACGGCCGGGGAUGUGAGCGGGUCCGAAACCAGCAGCGUCCACAGAGCACGGUGAAUCGUGCCUGGCACAGCCGGGGGUGUGAGCGGGUCCGAAACCAGCAGAGUCCACAGAGCACGGUGAAUCGUGCCUGGCACAGCCGGGGGUGUGAGCGGGUCCGAAACCAGCAGAGUCCACAGAGCACGGUGAAUCGUGCCUGGCACGGCCGGGGGUGUGAGUGGGUCCGAAACCAGCUGGGUCCACAGAACACGGUGAAUCGUGCCUGGCACGGUCCCCACCCCCGUCGGGGGAGGAUGCUCCUCUGGCCCCGGCGCAGGUCUGACUGGAAAGGGCGGGACUUUGUUCAGGGAACAUUCAUGCCUGAGCGUCUGAGCUGGUGUGGCCCCAAGUGGCCUGGGCUUGGGGGGAAGUUGAGGGAAGGUCCUAAGAGCCUCUGCCAGGGGGUUCAGAUCAGAAGCUCAUUGCACAACAGGCUGGAAACAUCUGUGGUCCUAACUCCAGCCAAGGGAGAGGACAGCAUCCAGUGCCAGGAAGAACACAGGUGCCUGGUGCUGGUCAGCGCAGGCUGCUGACAAACACCAUCGCCGAGCGGCCUGAACAGCAGGAAGUCCUGGAGGCUGGCAAUCUGCGAUCGAGCGUCUGGCGUUGGUCUGUCCUCUCUCCUCCGAGUGUGGCAUCCUCACGUGGUCGCUCCUCUGUGUGCGUCUGUGUCCUCACCUCCCCGUCUUCUAAGGGCCCAGUCCCAUGGCAUUGCGGCCACCUGAGGACCAAGCUGAGCCACAUCACCCCCUUAACACCCCAACUUCAGGCGCAGGGCCCCCUGAGAGGCUGGGGAUUAGGGCUCCAAUGUGCAGUCCGUCCACACCAGGCCUCACGGUGACCGGAACCCAGGGCAGAGGUCCCAGUUGCUCCCCAAACCUCCUUGCCGCCCCUGGAGCUGGCACCGCAGACGGACAGGGACCCCCACGGCUUUUCCUCCACAAGCAGCUCACGGUCUCCACGGCGGACGAGGCUCGAGCCACAGGCAGGUGGGAACGCAUCAGCCAACCCUGACGGGCUCUUUGAGGGAGUCGGAUGGAGACAGGGCUGGUGUCGGGGAAGAGCAGCAUUGCUUUCUGCCCUGUAGUCCAAGGCCAUGCAGUGAGGGGGGCUCUUCUGGAAAGAGGAAGGAGCAGGUGUGGGGAGUGGACACAAGAGGGACCUGUCGGGCUGGAACCCGGGGCGAGGUGAGGCCUUGGGUGGGGUGGGUGUGGGGUGGGUACUGAACAAAGAACAAUCCACCGGUGUGGCCCAUCCACGCGGUGGCUCAUGCCCCCCCCCCCCAGGGCUGCAGCUGGGGUGGCAGGGUCCCGGGGGCUGUGCCCAGGACGGUUCCACCGGGAACUCAGGGCAGAACAUGCCAUUUCACGCCUCUCCAGGACCCGCUAACGUCCUGCUGGUUCAUCUUCCCUCGGGCGCGGGCGUGUAGUGGUGGGACUGAUGGGACAUGGAACUUGGGUCUUUGUGGGGCCACAGAGUCAGGAAGCCAUGAGGACGGCUGACCCGCCCGGCAGCCGGACCACAAGCAGAGGCGGAGGAGCAGGAGACACGGGGCCCCGUCAGCUGAGUUUUGGACCAAGGAGACACUUCACUGUGCGACAGUCCACAUCCCUGGGUGUGAGGAUGAGGUUGGGGACUGGCCUAGGCGAAGCUUGAGGAAGUGGGUGGGUCCUUCCCAGCCUGGGAAGGAGGGACAGUCCCUCCCGGGCCCAGGAAAGAGCCUGGCAUAGCCUUGGAGCAGGCGGGGCACAGGGCAGAGACGCGGGAGGCGGGGUUCGAGGGUGGAUGGGCAGUGGCCCCUCUCCUCUGGGGGCAGGAGCCCACUGUGGGCAUGAUGCCCAGGCGAGAGGCCCCAGGGCACGGCUCACAGACAACCAAACGUUAACAGCCAACCGCAGCGGCAGCCUAGCGUUUCUGAUGGGGAUCUUGCAAAAGCUGCUGUUUCAGUCCCUGACUCACUGUGUGUCAGGGCCCAGCUGUGCCGGUCCCUCCAUGCCCCCCCUCUCCCGGGCAGAUCAGAGAAAGGAGGUGCUGUAGGUGCCCCUCACCUGUUUUAUGACAAAAACAUUGUACAAAGUUGAAAGGAAGAGAAGGGGGGGACAGAAAGGGAUGAAAAGGAAGAAAAACCACUUUUGUUGAAUUUGCUGAAAACUCUUGACGUGACUCAGGGGGAAAUCCUAACCCGGAGGCGAGGACGGACAUCAGGUCGUCACGCGAGGCCGCGCUGCCCACACGGGUGGUUCUGGAGUCCCGGGACCGACCUCCGCGUGGACUCGACGGACGGUCAGCGUCCCCAGGGCUGGUCUUCAUUCUCACAUGGCACAAGCACAAACAGCCCCCCAGGAAGAGCACUGAAAACACACCCAACCUCCCCCUCCCUAAGGCACUGAUUCAGGGUCUCUCAUGUCCCAGCCCAAGGCCAGGAGAGGUGGGGGGCGGGGGGGGGGGGAGUGCAGCCACACUCCUGGCCGUCCCCGAAGUCACAGCUUCCAGGGACUCUGUGAUGUCUGGGCUGUGCUUGCUGGAGGGCAUCCGUUGGUCCUGAGACGGACAGUGUGUGCGGAGAGGACAGUAUUGGGGCCGACACAGACACCCAGGAAGAGACGGCACAUGUGGGCUUCUCCCAGCCCCAGGGAGCCGGUCGCCCCGUGAGUUCCCAGAACCUCCCGCCCCCCACGUCCCGCUGGGAAGGGAAGUCACCAGCCCCGUGAGGGAGGAUCGGUGCCUCGUCCCACAGCCAGGGCCCUGGGCGGGGACAAGCUCUGGGCGAGGCAGCGGCCGCUUUGUUCAUCUGGAAGGUUUUAGGCUGCAGCUGGUGGGCCAGGUUGCGUGUUUGUGCACAGAACACGUUUCAUCUGCACGCGCUCCUCCAGCCCACGUCCGGGGUGGAGCUGGGCCCCUCCCCCUGAGUCUAGGGGCUCCUGAUGUAACCAGCAACUCGCACGCUCACCGGGUUCCCAGAACCGCCUGUGAACAGAGGUGUCCAGCCGCCCCGCAGCCCUGCGUGUGCUGAGACAUGGCUGCCAGCCUGGGGGGCUGGGUGAGGGUGGCUGGGGGCUCCACAGCCCGCAGCCCACAGCCACUCUGGCCCGGAUUCUGUGGCUCCUCUUCUUCCAGCCCCAGGUGUCCUUCCUGCACCGACGAGUCCGGGAAGAGCCAGUGAAUGUGGAAAUCCCGUUUCCUGCCUGUGAGAUGAGUUGAUUGAUUCAUGAAGCCCCCGCCCCCUCACCACCUCUCAGGAUGCCCUCUCGGGUGCUCUGUCGGCUGUGCUUAAUGAGCCUGUGUCACCAGGAGCACACGCGUGGAAUGAACAGGCCGCGUGGGGAAGGGGUCCAGGAGCCCCCGGAGCUGCACGCUGCAGCAGUCACAGCUGCCAGCAAACAGCACAGAAGGCAGCCUCUCCCUGAGCCUGGGGACAGUCACACAGACACCCCGACUCAUCCUGCUGCUUGUCCUGCCGAGAACUGGUCUGAGCCCUUCCCCACACACCCCCCUCUACCCACCCCACCCCAGCACAGGGCGCAUGGCGGGGGCAGGGCCGCAGGCCCUCUGUCCCCAGAGAGGUCCUCAGCCCGAGUCGGGGUGCAGGCCACACACACCUGCCCUCGGUCCACCCCGCCAGGACAGCACGGGGCAGCAUGUCCUUAGCAGAAAGCCGCCAGCCGGAGCAAGCGGGCGCCACGGGCAGGCGCAGGGGCCUCCAGGGCCUGCCUCCUGCUUCCCGCUCCCCACCCCUCUGUCUCACCUCUCCUUCCCCUGCACAGUCGGCCCCUUAUCUGAGGGGACACGUGCCAGGACCCCAGAGGCACCUCAAACCGCAGACAGCUCCGGCCCGUAGGCCGACCACGUUUCUCCUGUGAUGACAGUCACACGGCACGCACCACCCAGCUCCUCCCGUCGCCAGCACAUGGUCGGCCGACCAGCAGGGGCCUCGCCUGAGGCUUGAUUUGCAUUUCCUGGGACUGAGGACGCUGAGCGGCACUUACGUGUGUCUUCUCUGGGGAUGCGUCUGUUCAAAUACUUUGCCUGAUUUCAUUGGCUGGGUCGUCUCUAAUAACUAAGUUUUAAGCACUGCACCUUCUUCAUUCAUCCCGUACUCAGGCGUCUAUCGCAUGCGCUUCCUCCCGGUCUCUAGCUCCGGCUCUCUUCCCAGAUGGUGUUUGCACAGAGCACAAGUUUGUCAUUGGGUGAACUCCAGUUCAUCGUGGGUUUAGCUUAUGAGUCAGGGUUUUGGUGUUGUAGCUAUGAAAUCUCUGCUCAGGUCGGAGAAUUUCCUCCCAUGUUUUCUUCUAGCAGUUCUAUGUCUUUUAGGUUCUACACUGAGGUCUAGGAUUCACUCUGAGGCCACUAUGUGCCGGGAGCCGGUCCAUCCUUGCUGCUUGACACAGUCGCUGCAGGGAAGAAACACCCGCACAGCAUAUGCUUCAAGGGGCCUGGCCUAUAGGGCAUCCUGUUCUUACUAUGUUUGCUCCCCUUCUUAGUGCUAUGUGCUCUAAGCAAGGCCACCUCCCCGAGAAAGGAUGUUUCCCCAGGUGGGGAUGUUUCCCUGGAGUUAGGGAUUAACGGGACUAAGGGAGGGAAUAAAUCAGUAAAACCCCCUAGUGUUACAGAAAUACCGUGUACUACUUAUGAGGAACUCAGACUAAGACUGUUAACAAUAAAUUUAGGACUUGCUAGGCCCACAUCCCCAGGGGUCUACCCACCAGAGAAAGUACCAAAGCCUAUAGCCCUAAAAACCUGCCAACGCAGGGCAGUCCCAAGGAAGACCACCAGCAAGGCUAAAAGGACAUAACCUUUACCUAGGCCAUAGAAUAAGAAAAUUCCCUUCAGUUAUUUCCUUAUAGCUUAACAGUAGAGCAGUAGAAUAGUGACCUUGGAAUAGAAAUAACAAACUAGCCCUUAUAAUGGAACACAGACACUAACCUUUAGAAUAGAAUGUAGAAACAUAGACAAUAGAUGAGAUUAAAAUCAGCAAAGCUAGAUAGAGAUAAGAUUUUUGGCAAAGGUCAGAUAAGAAACUAUAAACAUAAAACAAGGAACUGUAGAAGGUCAAAGGAGGACCCAAAACAUACCAUGAUGUAACUAUAGAGGCAUGCUUAUAGAAUCAAAUAGUAUAAAUACAGUAGUGACAGGACAAUAAAAAAGAACCUGACUAUGUUGAUCGUCUGGA